GACAUGGGGGCANCCUGAUCUGNCAAUGCCGCGUGAGUGAAGAAGGCCUUCGGGUUGUAAAGCUCUUUUGUCAGGGAAGAAACACCGGCUCUAACACAGUUCGGGAAUGACGGUACCUGAAGAAUAAGCACCGGCUAACUACGUGCCAGCAGCCGCGGUAAUACGUAGGGUGCGAGCGUUAAUCGGAAUUACUGGGCGUAAAGCGUGCGCAGGCGGUUGUACAAGACAGGCGUGAAAUCCCCGGGCUUAACCUGGGAAUGGCGCCUGUGACUGUACGGCUAGAGUGUGUCAGAGGGGGGUAGAAUUCCACGUGUAGCAGUGAAAUGCGUAGAUAUGUGGAGGAAUACCAAUGGCGAAGGCAGCCCCCUGGGAUAACACUGACGCUCAUGCACGAAAGCGUGGGGAGCAAACAGGAUUAGAUACCCUGGUAGUCCACGCCCUAAACGAUGCUGACUAGUUGUUCGGGAUUUACAUCCUGAGUAACGUAGCUAACGCGUGAAGUCAGCCGCCUGGGGAGUACGGUCGCAAGAUUAAAACUCAAAGGAAUUGACGGGGACCCGCACAAGCGGUGGAUGAUGUGGAUUAAUUCGAUGCAACGCGAAAAACCUUACCUACCCUUGACAUGUCACUACCGAAGUAGAGAUUA
rnacentral:rRNA from 1 species